rnacentral:misc_RNA from 1 species
UGUUCGAGCGUCAUUACAACCCUCAAGCUCAGCUUGGUAUUAGGCGUCGCCCGUAAGGGUGUGCCGUAAAAUCAGUGGCGGUGCAUCUGGCUUCAAGCGUAGUAAUUCUCUCGCUUAGAGGUCUAGGUAGUUACUUGCCAACAACCCCAAAUUUUUUACUGGUUGACCUCGGAUCAGGUAGGGAUACCCGCUGAACUUAA